rnacentral:pre_miRNA from 1 species
CUACUACUCCCUCCGUCCGAAAAUACUUGUCUUUGAAAUGGAUGUAUCUAGAUGUAUUUUAGUUCUAGACACAUCCAUUUUGAUGACAAGUAAUUCCGGAUAGAGGGAGUAUUAU